CAGUCGCAGCCUCGAUCCUUCCCAUUUACUCUCAUUUCAAGCGAAACGAUCUUUGUCAAAUGCUCUCAGCGCUCCUCCUUCCUUCCGUCUCCCACAACAUUUAUCCCUCCCAAGACCUCCCCCUUCUCUCUCUCUCCAUCUCUCACUAAAUAUGACCAUCUUUGUCAAACUGUCAGCGGCCGUCCUCCUCCAUCUAUUAAAUGAAGCCUUUUGUUUCAUUAACCUUGUAUCCCUCCUCUCCUUUCUCCCUCUCGCCCUCGCAUUGCCAUCUGAAACCAGAUGGAUGUCAGACAGUUGUUACCAGUCUGCCACAGGAGAGAACACUUUCUGCACGUUUCUCUUCUUCCCCUCGCCGUUCUUGCCUCCCUCCCGCUUUUGCUGCAUUUACAUCUGGCGGUGCAGAGGUGGAAGCGUUCUUUAAAGAGAGGAGUGAGUAUCUUCAGAGACCCCCUCUGGGCUAUAACUCUCUCUCCGUCUGACCCACUGCCUUCAAGGUUCGUUAUUUUUUUUCUCUGCUUGCGAUCAUGUGGUGUUUUCUCUCCUAGCUUUUACAAUGACAUUGUUUUUGUCCCACUUUUGACAUUCUUCAUUUAGUUCCCUCAUCCGUAUAUAUCCAGGCAUUUCAAAAAGGCACGAUAUAAUAAUUAGAUACGAGCCGGAAUAGUCAAUAAAAAUAGAUAUAGAGAUAUAACUCCAUUUAAAGAGUUUUAUUUUCUCGUGUUGAGGCGACGGUUCAUAAUUCACACCAUGAAUAUUAACGCAUCAACACCCUCCUCCCUUAACAUUUUUUAUUUCAUAACAAUCUUCACGAUUCGAAUGUGGACAUUAUUGUCUUUCAGAGUUACGGAUGAAGUCCACUUGACAUUCUGAAUAUUUUUGCUUUACUUUUUUUAGGCACAUUUUUCCUCACUGGGAUUAAAUACUGGUUAAAUAAUAGUUUAAACCAAUCUUUUGUAUUCACCAGCAAUUAAUACACAGUUUUAAAAGGGUACCUCUUCCCGUUGUGUCUGUAAAGCCCCAUAGUUCAGUCACAUUGACCCAAGACACAAAUGAGGGUUUUAUUUGGACAAUCAAUGAAUGGAAAACCAUUUAGAUAUUAAGCUACACUAAGCAUGCUGACUAUUACAAAGAAGGAAAAGGAGAAACAUUUGCAGCAGGUCGAUCUCAACUGCUAACAAGUGACACAUGCAGUCAGGGUGAUGUGUACAGCAGUAGACUAGUUAAAGUGACACACUGCUGUACACAUCCAGCAGUGUGUCACUUUAACUAGUCUACACCCGAGUUGGAAACACAAAAUGUUUUUUCAAAAGCACGCCUCCGCCUCAGGAAAGACGUGUCGCCUAAUGAGGCUUUCACACGUCUCCGUCACACACACUUGGACAAGGUUUCGUACAUAACGUGCUGUUAUUCCUGCAGCGGGAUCCUGCCCUGCUCUACAUGCACAUUGCAGUCUUCGGGUUUGGAUCUUUCUCACCCAAACCCCAUCUUCAUGGUGUGGGCCGGGCCAAACCAUCUCGGCCUAUUGCCCCUUUGUCCUCUCUGUUUUCAUUGCAUUACAGUGUGACACAGACCCAUGGCCAUUACAUUAGAAUGGGCCUCGGGAACAGGAUCUGAGAUAAAGCAUCUGCUGUAGUGAUGUCAGAUGACAGUUAUGAAGCAGAUCAUGAGGCUUACAGUCUGAACUCUCUGGCGCCGCUUUGCUCUCUUAACCUCUGACAUCCUAAAAGCCAAAUCCUUUCCACUGUUUUAGUAUUACUUCUUCGGUCGCUGUUGUGACUUAACAGAUAUUUGCUCAGGCCCCAUUCAGAUGGUAUUUCAAGAUAACCGCUAUUCCCUUGAACAACUAAAAAGGGCCAGAUAAUGUGCUGUCUUUAGCCAAAACAGUUACUUAUUUAUGACAUUCUGCCUCGGCUUUACCUGCUUCCUCUUCCACUUUGUCCUCAUUCAACUGCACUUUUACAAAAGAAAUGAAUCUUUAAUUAUAUAUCAGAGACUUUCUCUCCUCCGUUAGAUUUCUGCUGUGAUGCAUGAAGAUAAUGUAUUCCAUUGAAUGUUCACUCUGGCCGGCGAACAAAUUCUCCAAAUAAACAGGCGGGUUGACCCGUCGUCAGCGGGUUCGCCGGUCACUGUGCUCUUAGUUAAAUUCUCUGUCUCUCCGUGAUCUUUCAGCCUUCAUCUUCUUAACCCGAUCCCCUUGCUCGCUAAGAAUAGCCGUGGCUUAAAGAGAACAGGCAGGGAAACAGAGAAGAAGGGCGGUAUUGGGAGGCUGCUGGCUGGAUUCUCAUUGGAUUUCAUGCCGUGUGCAGUUCAGUGGCUCCUAUGACUCCUUUCAGCCCACUGAUUUAUAGUAGUUCCCCUGCCGGUGUAACCUUUUAAUUUUCUGCCUUUUUAUUUUUAGUUUGUUUGUGCAAGGGCAUGUUUUAAAGCGCUAGCGUCUCGUCAUCCCUCAUUCGGUUCAGACCUUCAACGAGGCGUGUACCGUUUUGCACGACCGAAAUCACUGCAUGUUUUGUCCAUCAGGUGGAUGGAGCUUGUUUUGUGCUUUAAAGACAGACUACCAACAGACAAACAAAUAAAUUCCAAUCCCAUCAAUAACAUCUGUUGAUUUUCUGACUCAUGGCGAACUGCCACACACGAGCUUCAUAACAAAACAGUGGGACACGGUCAUGUAAGGUGGUAAAAGUCUGUUAAUGCAGUGUUUCCCCUGCCCUUCUAUUGGGGGAAGGACUGAUGUCAGUCAGUCUGUCUCCACGCCCCCCCCGUCCCCCCGACCCUCCCGUCAUUCAUCUGUCCCUCUGUCGGUACGUCCGUCCUCAUCGCCCCUGCAAUGCUGUUAACUAAAGGGAAACCCUAAAAUAGCAUCUAGUAUUAGCAUGGAAGCGUAGCAACCGGCCCCCCACUGGUAAACGCUAUUAGCUCCGUCAGUCCUUUUGCUGUAGUUUCCCCCCUUUGACGCUUUUGCCAUCGUUAGCUGGUCGCCAGUGGCUCGCCGUCACCAUGUCGGGAGCCGUUGGGAUCAAUAGCAAUGAUCCCAACCUCGGAUCUUGCUUAGAGAACCUCAAUUUGUGUUGUUUGAUAAAUUGUAAAAAGUUUGUAAAGUGUUAAAAAGGUGAGACGUGUGCUUGGAACGCAAUUAGGUCAAUACAAUUUCUUAGAUAUAUUACAGAUGGAUAAUGCUGGUGGAUCCAUCUGUUCAUCGUCAUUUUAAGCCCAACCGCGGAUAUAUUUUUAAAUUGUCAACCACUAGUUUGAAAGGGUCAAAUAAACUGAACUCCCUGGUUACUGAAAACGUUAUUGAGACAGAUGUUCAGUUGGGUGGAGUUUCCUGAAUCAAGAUGUAGCCUACAGCCAUGAUUGUAAAAUGAAUCAAGGAAGAGCAAAAAAACAUCCACGCUGGGCUGACAUAGUGUUAUGACGGAUGACAUUAUCAAGUAAUGAUACGUAUGGCGUUUGGAUGUCUACAGAUAAGGAUUUAGGGAGCGGGGGUGUUGGAAAGACACAUGCUGAGUGUGUAAUUACCACUCACUGUUUGCAUUAACAUCUCAUCUAAUUUAAUUCCUCUCUCUGUAGUAGCUACUGUAUAUUUAGCUCUUUCCCAUUAUUCACUACUCGGGUGUUUCUUUCUCGUACACUCCGAUCUCCGCAUAAAUAAUGAUUUAUUUUUGAUUUGCCUGCUUCUGUUAAGGUUAUUCUUUGGUACUAUUUUUGCUUUUUUGUUUAGUAUUGUGAUCAUUUAUGUGCUCUGCGCUGCUGCUAAAGGCGCUGUUGUCAUCAAGAGAGUUAAGGAACUGCUGAAUUGGAAAAGUAUAGCUGGUGUCAAGGUCUGGAGGACGUAGAGGCACAUAGUUGGAAAGGCGAAUACACAAGAACGGCAAGGGGGACCGAGACCGAAUGUGAGCAUCUUAACCGUGAUGUUUCAUGUGAUACCACUCUUUCUUUCUCUCUCUCUCUCUCUCUCUCUCUCUUGACAAACUGAGAUAAGCUGCCCUGACUCUGCAUAAGAACAAAAUAUAAAACAACCCCAAAAAAAUCCACCAUUCUGAGGUCAGAUUUAUCUGGUGGAAAAUGAAAGGAGACACGACAGGAUGCAGGGAGAGGGCGAAACGGUGGAGGAGGGAAUAUGGAAAAAAUGUAUAAACUUUCUGCCUUUUAAUGCUCUCGCCGUAGUUAAUGCAGCACGGUGAGUUGUUUGCUGGUUCGCUGAUCAUCACUUUAAGCCGAGAGCACAUACUUGUUACCAUUUGGGCCUUUGACCGAAACCUUCAGAUGGCUGGUGAAACGUCUCCUCUUACAGGCAAAUCUAUGGAAUUUUUUUCAAUCUCUAUUAAGUAAAUCAUUAAAUUUUAAUUGUAUAUUGUAGGGAAAAGCAGUACUGACUGACUGUUUGCUUCCUAUUUGUUGUCAGUUAGUUUGGACCUGAAGUAUUUGUGAAUGAAUAUUUUUUACUUUGGGAAAGUGAGCGUAAUAAUAGCACUCUCAUGCUUGUUGUCCUUGCGUUCCACUCAUUGUAAAAGUUGACGAAAUCACACGUAACGUUAGCAGUCAGUUCUUCUUCUCCUGUUCCAUUCACUGGUAUCUAAUUCUUUCUUUUAGCAGCUUUUAUGCGCACCACUAGAUCACUUCAUCGUGAGCGUGACGCGGCUGUGGUAACAGGCGCUUUACAGCACGGCAGCUUCGGGUGAUGUGCGUGCAAAUGUAACUUGCCAUGAAGUCGAGCUAGUUGGGGUUUUGUGCGUGAACCUAUGACUGUGUGUAAUAGACAGUGUGUGAAAAAGCGUGUAAUAGGCUCACCUGUCCCCGCCUGCCGACUGAUGGGCAGGGGGAGAGAAGGGAAACCAGGUGGAAGGAGGGAGCCAUGGAGGAACCAAUGCACCGAGUAGAUAAGGCUGCAUUUUAUGUUCCGACUUCCACAUUGCUGAAUAAAUGAACACCAUUAUAGAAUGGGGUAUAAAAUAAAAGGGAGAGGUAUGUUGAUUGAAGAAAUAUUGCUUAUUGGAUGAGGCUGGGGAAGCGGGUGUGGAUCGAACCUUAGGAGUUCAUUACAUUUAGAUUUUUGUAAGCAGAGUAGUAUCUCUUUAGAAUCACCAAUUUGAACCAGUUAAAGUUUAUUACUGUGGCUUUUGAAUUAUGCUGAAAAUAUCAGCAGAGAUGAUCUUUCUCAAUGGGGACACAACGUAAAGCAUCUAUAAAAAUUGGAAAUGGUUGCCGUAACAACAGCCGUUGGUUUGUAAGGGCCUCAGUUUCACAUUUGGGCGGUCAGCAUCUUUUGCAACCAUAAGUGACAUGAGCGGGCGACUAAAACCGAGCCUUCUAUAAGACUAUAAAAAUAUCAUUACUAAAACCAUGAACAUUCAAUGAAGGAGUUGAAAGUCAAAAACACAGACGUCUCCCAUAUUGGAAAAAGCCGUGGUAGCAACCUGCCAAUCACAAGUUAGCCACGCCCUCAGGCCAACCCGGCUUUAUGGUCCCACUUAGUCUAAAUGGGGCCGUCAUUAACUAAGUAAACCACUGAAUGAGACGUCAUGUUCACAAUGUUUAUUGAGGUAAUAAAUCAAGUGAAAUGUGGUGUCAUUUUCUCUUCGGCUCCUAUGCAUUCAGACUUCUUUUUGCAACCAGAGGAGAAAACGAUGGACAUUAGUUUGAAUGCUUAAGGCGCUUCCACAUUGGCAUCCCUCUUUAAAAACAUAGGUCGCUGUCUGGUCGCAACAACCGGGGCAGAUAUCUAAAAAGAAAAGCAAUAGUCACUUUGGAAAAAUAAAACUCCUUUUUUGACUGUUUAAUCUUCUGCCCUGACUAACUGUUGUUUGUCUUUGACAGGGUGACGAGGAAGAUCACGCUGACGUUUCGUCUUGUCCAAGGUAAGAACACAAGACCGCCUGUAUCUCUUUGCUCCAUAAAAAAAAAACCCUGCUGUAACUCAAUAGUUUUUCAUCCUCUCAGUUUCUCUCUCGUUGUAUUCAGACCUCAUGUGCUGCUUUUAUCCGUGCUGAGUACUCUUCUCAGAAUUUAGGAGGGCAUGAAACCCAUUUUAUUUUCCGUGUUGAUAGACAUAACUCUACUUCCCCUGCUAAAACAUUAAAGCGGUGAAUUUGUACAAUAUUGUAGGCUUGUUUUGCCAUCACAUGAAAGGGGACUCCCUCUGCCAAAUCAAUAAUGGUAGCCAUAUGUGUGAGAAGCCUCAAUGCCGUGCAAGCUGUUGUGAAUAUUUGGGAACAAGGCAGGCAGUGUAUGAAAUCACAUUUCUGUCCUUUUGAAUCAGAACUGAGAUUCUCAAUACUCAGGUGAUGCGUUUGAAUUUAAGAAUACUGUUGGAAAAUUCACAUGCUGCCAACCCUGCCGGCCGACCUGAACCCCCCCCGACGAGAACCUGUGGCCCACCAGUAUGGUGGUCUGCUUCUCUGUCAGUAGCACGUCUCCGGCCAUAUCUGGUUGCCGUGGUGACAUGCCCAUGUCAGCAGCAGUGUGUGUGUGUGUGUGUGUGUGUGUGUGUGGCGGGCGAUGAAAGGACUCUGUGGAGGCGGAUAGAAUUCCUCUGUCCAGAAACGCCAGCGGGACGCACACAUGUCGGCGCUCGUGGAGGGGAAACCUCAGACAUGUGGGCACGCAGGAGACGCACGUGUCACAAAAGUGUACACAGCCACAACGGUACAGGACAUGGGCAGAUGCAGCAGACACACACGUAGAGCGAUAUCCAGAUUCCACGGAGGGCGCGGCCAUGCAUUCACGCUGACAGCUCAGGACUCUAGGGUUACAUACAGGGAAGUCCAUGCGUGCCGCAAUGCUUUGAACACUAAUGGUAUGUAUACACACUUUUAUUAACGCACACAGACCUGAAGCUACGGUUUAAUGCCUCCCACUAAAUAAAAUGUCUGCGUCCGGUCCUUAAAGGUCUUUCUUUUAAACAUGAAUGACGGAUGAUGUAUGCACGCAGAAUUAGCGAAUGCAAAUUGUUGCUGGCUCAGCAGCUGCACCGCGGGAAUCUGGGGUUAAGGGCCUUGCUUCUAGGGCAACUUUUAUUGCCGAUGAGGGAGGGAAGGGCAUUACUCAUUUGCUCCCCCCCAGCCAGAACAGACGUCCCCAACACGAGCUGGUUUGGGGAUCUAAAACGAGGACACACGCCUGCCGAAGCCUCGGGCUUCUACUGACAAACAGGUGUAAUGCACAGUUUUUUUUCCUCUAGAAUUUAUUCUCCCCCGUCAGGACGUUGGCCUCGCAGCAAGCAAAGCGUAUGUCAUACCGCUUAAGCAGUAUAAACAAACUAAUGAGAUUCGGAAAAACGUUAAAUAAGAAAGAGGGAAGACUCAAGGGACUGAGACUCUGUAGAGUCUAUCAAAGAUUCAACAUUAUUCAUUUGUUUGCCUCGAGCACCUAAAAUAGUUUUUAUUGACUAUUCAGCCCUUUUGAUCCGACUCUUUUUUUAUUUGCGCAUCACUCUUGGAUGCAUCGUUUUAAAUGGAGAGUACAGAGUGAGCUAAAAUGUAGUUUACACUGCAUUCGCUCUUUGUGUCCGUGUGAGGCUUUCGGAGGUGGUGAAGGACGAGAACGAAGUGGUUCCGCCGCUCUGAACUCAAUGUUGUUUAACUCCCGAGGUCAAAUGAACUAAUUGAAAUGACAACAGAUCCCAGAUUUGAACCCCGAUCAGAUGGGUUCAGAGAAUCCUCCAUGAAGUGAUGCACCUGUAAGAUAACCCGGGACGAUGACAGCCUUUCUUUUAUCUUUCCUUGUCGCACUCUACCACUCGUCCUGCCGUCGGGCCUCUGUUGGCAUUCGUGUCGGCAAAUUGCUUAGUAGACACCACCAUGUCAUGUACACUUGCACAGCGUGUCUGCGUGUGGGGUCGUCAGUAAUGGGAGACUGUGUGUUUUUUGAUCCCUGGGGUUCGCCUUGUCGCCAGAAUCUCCUUAACACCCACACACCCCGUCUCUCUCCGCCUCUCCCACGGCACACACACACACACACACACACACACACACACACACACACACACAACCCUGACCACACUUGGCUAUUUAGGAUUAUAUCCCCACUGAUUUGUACCCUCUACAUGUGCCUGAUUUACUUUGCAAAGGCAGUUUGGGAUGGAUCGAUUUUCCUUUUUUUACAAUUAUGACAAGUUGUUUUUAAGCCUUUUCUGUAUAUUACACCUUAGAGACAGUUCAUGGUAAUGGAUUUAAUAUCACCCUAAAUGUCACUCAUGUUGUUAAACAGCAGGAUAUGUUUUUGUUCCUUUUUGAAUUAUCUCAUCUUUAAUUUAGCCCUUAACAGUUUAAUAGCCAUCGUCAGACUGAGGCAGCUGUUACUAGGAUUUUCUUUUUUUUUGACAUAACCCACUUUUGAAAAGUAAAUGAGAUAAUAGUGAAAGAAAACUACUUCAGCUCAGAGAGAUUUUUUUAAACAUGAAGUUAUUGCAGUACAACGCAUUUAAAAAAAAAGAUGAUUUAUGAGUGUGUGUGAAACAUUAUAGGUAUGUCGCUGAGAUCAAAAUCAAGGCCAUGGUUGUAGAUUGUAGGCGUGCGGUCAGAACAAGGAAUGCCGAAAAGUAGGAGGUCGGUAUGGAGCCGUCCGCCACGGCGGAUACUUAAGUCUGAAAGACUGAGGAUGAGAUCCUGAAAAUGUGAAGACACUCGUUUCUCAAUGUAUAACAAGACAUGCGUGUUGAAAUCCUGCAGGAGGAGAGCUACGUUAGCGCUUAGCAGCAGGUGAGCGGCAAGGUGCUACUUGGUCACAUAAAAGAGCCAACGGCUAAGAAACAGAGGUUGAAUUGUGAUGCGUCCAAGGUCUAUUUCCUAAACCUUUGGAAAAGCUAAAUAACAACCUCGUUAUUUGUUCAUUUCGUGAAUGAUUGAUAUGUUUGCAUUCAAAUAUAUGGAGUUUUUGAUCCUGUUUUGUACCUUUUGGUAUCAAGUUUGUUUGGGAGAAUUGUAGAAUUUCACUCAUAUUUAAAACAAUCACUACAUUUCUUAUAUUUGAAAUGCCGAGACACCACAAGCAUGUAGUGUGUUCCACAACCAGGACAGAAUGAGGACCACUGAUUACCAUGUCUGACCGAGCAUUGCUGACACGAGUGAGAGCAAAGCACAAUACAACCUCAGUGUUGUCUUGACUGUGCACACUGGGCAUCCUUUAGGCCGCUCUCGCAUAUUCCCGGGCGUUGUUGAGUCUACACGUUGCUAUGCACAUUGACAAGGCAAAUCUACAUACACGGCGCCGGUUGCCAUUCGCUGUGACCUAGAAUGGCUGACAAGGGGGAUAAGUCGAGGAAUUGUAUUAACCCAGCCGUGUCCCGAUCACGCUGACAAGACAUUAUUCUUUUUCCUGUUGCUGCUGUUAAGAGCAGAAUGUCUGCUCUGUCAGAUACAGAUGCUGACAAGCCGGCGUUCUGGCGUCUUAAGCGCCGCUGACCAGGGAAUAGGAACUAAGGAGUAGAAGUCAGGCCGGCUGUAUCGACGGCGCAUGUUGACAAAGCAGCAGAGAGCGUUGCGUUGGCCUUGUGUUUGACACGGGACUGGUGACAAGUCCUUGCUAUUCCACACCCGUGUGAGCACGGCGAGGUCACGCUGACCCAAGCCCGCUGGUCCGAGGGGACUGCACUUGAUUCUACUGUGUCUUUUCCUGCGAACAUUGUGAGUGUCCAGCAUGUGUGCGCAUUGAUUAGCCAAGAUGUGUGAGCUCGGCUCCUCGGGACGGCCCCGGUUGUUGCCGGAGGUCAAUGCGUGUGCGCUCUUAAGUGUGUGUUUGCGCUCGCGCGCGUGUGUGUGUAUUUGCCAGGCGGUGGGGGGUUAGGCCCGGAUUGCAAUGACAAUGGAGAGGAAUUUAAAUGAGAGAAAAGAGGGAGAUCAGGGACGUUUGCAAGGAGGAUGGAAGAGGCUUUGGCACCAUUGUUAUUCUUCCUCUUUGUUAUUCUGCCACUCUAUCUCUCUAUUACAAAUCCUCCACUCUGUGGCUCUCUCACUCGGCUAUGUUUGUCACUGAAAUCACUCUGUUAAUUUGAUCCCAACUUAUCCCUAUCUUGAUUUUUUCCCCCUCUAUGUCAACUCCCUGUUGGGAAAGGUUUUCUUUUUUUUUUCCUUCUACUUGCUCUCAAGAGUCACACGUGCUUCACGUCACGCCAAGUUGGGGAAUCUGGGGUUUUUGCCCCGGAUCCUUAUUUGGGUUGUAGAAACUGACCAGAUACUUAUCUUAUACUAAUCUAUGAUACAACUACGCUACUAACUACUGCGGCAUCCAGCUCGGUAGUUGCUGCUAAUGUAACGGCGGUGCUGUUUUAAAUCCUAAAGUAGCUUUGGAUUGUAAUCGUUCAGUGCCGAAAAUAUUAAUCAGCGCAGUGACAAGAAUCUGUCUUGUCAGGUUUGGUCAAAUUUUGUGUUCAUGGAGACAAUUUUUUUUUCUUCUUUUCAGGUAUAUUGUUUGUUAAACAUACAUGUCUAUAAACAUACAUCCAAGAAUGAAAAAAAUAUCAUUCAUUCACUUUUUUAUUUCUAAUGUAAGUAAGUCAGGUUCCGCCUUCUAUUUGUGUCUCAUAUUGAGGGCUGUCCUCCACCAAAGUCCUCCUCAGCCGGCUAACAGUUUGUUGACUAAUCAAUUAGCUGAUUUAAAUCGACAGAUCUGUGAACCUUGAGUAUCUCUUACAAUCACACAGAAGCUUCACUGGAAAUCUGUGAAACCACGUGUCCCUCUCCUUGACCACCAAGCACCAAACACGGAGUCGACUGAGAACUAAAAACAACCGAUUUGUUCCUCAAUCAGGAGGUUCCCCUAUAAUAUCCAGUGUGUCUUUCAAUGUUUUUUUAAUUUUUAUUUAGUGUCACUUGACUUCCUCCCGUCAGCAGUGACUCACCGUUCCUCUGUGGCUCUCUUUGUCUUGUCGCUCCCCCCAUCGCAGUGUUAUUACCUCUACAGUCUCUGGUCAGAUCUAGUGCAGUUGCUAAUAUAACCACUCUCAAAACAGGCUCAUUGAUUUUAAUCCCUCUCUCUCUUUCUCUCUGUUAUAGACACACACACACACACACACACACACACACACACACACACACACACACACACACAAACAGACUUUCUCUCUCAGUUUCUGUUUGCCUGCCCCUCUCUCUCUCUUUCUCUCUGUAGCAGCUCUAAUUGCGAUCAAUUAUGAAACUUCAGAAGGCUGAAAUAGGAGCUGCGACAAGGGGCAUCCGCUGAGCUGGCAGGGGGAGAGGGAAGGGGGGGAGAGGCAAGGGGGGGAGGAGGGGAAAACGGUGACAUAGGAGCGCAGAGUGGAUGGGAGGGGCAGCGGAGAGAAGUCCAAGUCGGUGUCGAGAGAUGAGCUAAUGGUAAUGGCUUGAUUGAUGUGGCCACAGCAGCUGAAAGUCACAUCGUUUUUCAUGCCAGGUAUUGAUUCCUGACAAGCCCUUGUUAGUUUUUGGAGCGCAGUCGCCAUGGCGAGGAGUUGUAUUCCCAUCUGCUAUGGUCACUCUGGUGCUUCGAACAAAAGCUCCAUACACAUAUUCUGAGCAUUGCAGCUGGAAUGAGAGUAAACCGAUUUCAAGAGACAAUUUGGUUGCAACAUAAUAACUUGUAAUGCUUUUAUAUAUUUAUUGAGUUUACACUAUUUAUUUUGUUUGUUUAAAUUCAUAGUUGUUUUAGUAUUGUAACCAAUAUCCUCAGUGAUAUCGGUUUCAAUACGGAUACUCUUUGCAUCCAUCACCUCAUUUCGGAGAAAAUAAAUACAUUGCAUAAACAAAUUUAUUCCUCAAUCCUGGAGGAGUGAAGUAAAAGUAAUGAAUGUGUUCUUAACUGUAUUCAGCAGAACAUAAAACUCGGGUAAACUUUUACCAUUUGUCUUCAACUCUAAAAGUUGUGCGGCUCCGCUACAAGGCGGCUUUGCCUCCCUGUUUUAAUUUGAUUCCCUCCACGCUUUGCGUACCUUUUCAACGUAAGCCAUUCGGAACUAGACUCCGAGUGAAGAUCAUGCAAACAGAAGCAACUUUAUCACUUCCAAUUCAUUUUUAAAUGUAUUACCGACUGACCCCCUAAACACAAUCUUCAGCUUUGCUUGAACAGCUCUUUAUAGAAAAACAAGGAACUUAUUUCAGUUUGAGUCAAGUACACCCCACCCCGGGGCAAAGAUUAUAAAUAACAUUAUUAUCUGGAAAUAUUCCUUCACGGAGGCUGGAGCGUGCUGGUUGCCUUAAGCUCUCUGAGGCACCCGCUGAAAAAUGUUUCCAACAUCGCAAUUCUACAAGAUUUAUGUUGUUCCAGCAAGAUCCGGGCUCGACUUGCAGAUAAAAUAAGCUUGUUGUAAAUAAAUCUAAUGGUAAUUUACCAACGGUUUCCUGUCAGAGAUUUGGAAAAAGCCUUGGGUUUCUUAAGGGUCUCUGUUUUUCAUACAUGUCCUGCAGGCUGAGAGCCUCUGGUCUCAUGUUUAGCUGCCUGUGCCUUGGGGCAUACAAACCCUUUUAUCUUGUCACCCUAAUGCACGUGUAUGUGUGCGAGGCGGAGGGAGAGGGAGCAUGUGAGGGAGAUUGAAGGAUCAAUACUAAGCCGUCAGGAGGUCUGCUACUCCCAGAGACACAGAGAGAGAGAGAGAGGGGGGGGGCACCCAGAAGAGAGUGGUGAACGAGAACGUAAUAGAGAAAGGGAAGAGGAAGAGGAAGAGACAAAGGGAAAGAGGGGGUGAGGUGGCUGGGAAGAAGGGCAGCCACAGGAAAUGUAUGGAGAUGGAAACGGAGAGCAGAUUUGGCUGGUGAUAAAUUAACCGAUGCAAGGGAGACGGGAAAAACAGAGAGGGUGAAGAUAUAAUGCAGGUGGAAAGAAAAUGAAGACAGGGAAAGAGGAGGUGAGGAAAAGGGAAGCUGCUGGUCUACAGGGAGCGCAGUACUUGUUACAGCUAAAGAGAGGGGGAACUUAACAUUAUAAUGGGAUGAGAAACAAGAUACACGUUACGUUUUGGCUCCCUCUCUGGGUUCUCCACAAGGGUAUGGAGACACAUUCAUGUAGAGCACACGGGGGGCUACCGGGCUCGCGUUGUUUUGCAUUGGAGGGCAGCAGUGGUACGGCGUGCGCUGUGACUUGUUCAUCACGUGUAUUCAAUUAGAAUUCAAAAUGAUUACGCUAUCAUAAAGUAGGGAGUUGGACUUAAAGGAGUAGUCGAGGGUUUGGCGAGAUGUGCCGCUAAUUAAAAGCUUGCACUUUAAAGAGGCCAAAACAUGCAAGAUGUACAAUAUAUUUCAAAUAUAACAAAACGGUCUCAAAAGUGACUGCUGGGCUCCGAGGAAGAGAGCUUCAACUUGUUAGAUUCAAGAGAGAAAUUGUCCCGUUGCCAAAAACUCACAAAUUUGAUCCUUCAAAAUGUGUCCAUCAAAAUGUCAGGUGUCCUGUUGAAGUGCCAGACAGCCAAUCGCUGUGCAGCGUGCAGGAUGCAAAUGCCCGCAUGUGUACUUCUUCGUAUUCCCUGCGCAUGCAGUAAUAGAGAAUGAAUAUCGGCUGUUCAGAGCAUGUUUUCUCCCAGCGAGCCUCACUGCGCCCCGAGUCCACACACUUUAACUUCUUUCGACUCCAGUGGGAUUCAAAGUUUGAUCUCUGGCCGUGUUUGUUUCAUGCAGAAGCUCCAGCACAAAAAAACAAAACUAAGAGUAUUUAUAACAUUGGUCUUGAUGCAUAAUUCAGUUGACAUAAACAUGAAAUGAGGGGGGCAAACGAAACUGUAUCCCACAAGAUCUAAAAGCCUUGCCUUGACACCCAUAAUGAAUAUUUAAACCUUGAUGACCCUACGCCGGUACGUCUGUGAAUGAUUUACACUUCUGCCUCACGGAUGGCUAUUUUUAUACCUUUUUGUCUUUUUUCUUUUUCAAAUUCCCGUAUCACAUCUUUUUAUCGUCUUCUCUUUCUUCUUCUGAGAAGACAGAUCGCAGUAAGACAGGAACCUGUCGGGUGCCGAAGAAACCCGUGCAAGUAAAAGAAAAGGGGGAAAGAACUAGAAAGAAAAGACCACAUCUUGUGAUCAUCUUUGACUUAUCUGUGAAUAUCAUCAGCUGUAAUCAUCUUUCCGCAAUAUAUUUCACCCCCCGAUGAUUAAGUUUCUUAAUGGGCCCUGGGAAUAGUAUUAUUUAAUGUAGGGGAAUAGGAUGGAGAAUAAUACCCCAUUAUUAAUAAAUGUAUUCCAGAUGAAGAAUUUCAAUUGUGAGUUUCCUUAUACUUGGGCCCAUAAUGACCCUGUAGGUUCCUUCAUAAAAGAAAUGACUCCGAGGCAUAACACCGUUUUUCACAGUGAAGCAAAGGGAUGGAACGAAACAUCUCUUCUCCCACUAAUGCUUCAUCUGGUUUGUAGCGUGAUCGGUAAAGGGUGAUAGGCUUUUUAUGCCUUGAAUACAGAAUUUACAGAAUGGUUUUCUCAUGCUGGUUGGCGAGUCACUGUGCAGGGGUCCAAACAGGUAAUGAUAAUUUCGUAUGAUGGGUGCAAAAAUUAUGAAAACCCACAUGUUUUAAGUUUGGGCAUAGCCCAUAUUUUCCUGAAAGGACAAUGCCAGGGUUGGUUUUGGGUGCUCUGCUUUAAAAAGUGCACAAUAAAUAAAGGUAAUCCUUUCAAUUGCGCAUUGAUUAAACCCUUAAAUGUCUGUGUGUCAAAUGCAGCACUUGUUAAAUUGUGUAUAUGUAUAUUAUAAACUAUGAGCCGUAUCUGAAACCGUAUCAAACGCAAAGAAAAUCUAAUUUUCUUUCUAAACAUUUUUUAUCGAAUCUUUUAGAUCCACAUUUCGCCAAUGUUUUACCUUUUUGGCUUAUUUUAAUGACUUAGCACAACAUUUGACAUAUCUGUUUUCCUUUGGUAAAUAAAGUAAAUUGAAUUUGAAAUCGUUAUAUAAAGAUUAAAUGAUAAAAUGAGAUGACACCGCUCAACGCUCACUUGUUUUAUUAUAUACCAGGAAAAAAAGGCUCAGAAAUGGAAUAAUAGCAGAUCACUGCAACCAGCCCUUCUCAUACCUAACAGCACUAUCAGUCUUACAUGCCUGUCUAGGAUUAGACACAUCUAGUUAUGAAGACCAACAGCCUCAUUUACAACAGAACAUGGCUCUGCAACCUGCAUCCAUCUCUCUGUUUGUCUCAAGGUUAGGGCUCACAGGGGAGGAGAGGCAUCAGGUUACACUAAUGCAUCAUGGCUGCUGGAGGACACACAUGCACAGGCCUCGUCAGCCACUGUCUCACCCCGUCUCGCCUUCUCUUUCCCCCCUUACACACAAACACACACGCCCUGGUGAGCUGAAACCCCCCCUUUAGUACAGGUCUAAGGGCACACUGUGGCCUUGCUCCAUCGUGCCCUUGUAACCUGCGAGCAGUCUGCCGUCGGUCCGCUGGGCAAAUCACUUGUCUCUAAAAAUAAACUGAAAGCAUCACUGAAGGCCUGGCUGAGGUUAGAGCGAGAAAGAGAGAGGAGAAGAACAGGACACCCAGGAGAGAGUGGAGAGGGAGAACGUAAUAGAGAGAGGGAAGAGGGUAAGAGAGAGAGAAAGAAUAUUAAGUAUUACUCUUCUUCAGUCUAUUUUAUACAUUUAGGACAAACUCCAACACUUUGAAGUAAUGUACAAAAGGGGCAGCAUCGCUCACCAAUCAAUUACCAGUUAAUCUUGACGGGAGGGGGAAGCAAAGAGCUGAUAUGGUAUUAUUGACACACCUACACUAUACAUGCUGAGGCUGCAUUACUCCUGUUUAUAAUGCGUUUGGCCCACUCUGGCCUCCUUUCCAGUGUUUGUCACAGUGUGCAGAGAUUGCUGUUGCUCAUUAAGUCCUCCAAAUUGCAGUUGUGUUCUCACUCAAGCAGAAUCUUAAUCUUCAUCUCUGCAUCCAUUUAGCUUCCUAUCCAUUAGUACGGAAAUGGUUGGUCAAUUAACGCAGUUAUUUUUCAGGUACUUUGUAUUUUCUGUAGUUGGUUGGAUCAACAUCCGCAGCGGAUUUCUUUUACUACUUUAAUAUAGCUUAAUGAUUUAUUAAUCAGAACUAAUUGGAACGUUCACAAAAUUUUCAUUACGCACUUUUUUUUAUUUUAUGUUCUGGCUGGGUCCCGUUCCAUGUCCCAGAAGUUGAAGGCAAAACAGCAGUGUUAAGUCCAUACAGCAUUGGUAACACACUUUAACACACCGUCAUCAGAUAAAAACCAAUGCGCAUUCACGCAGACGGAGAGAGAGGCCUCCUCUAGGGAUCAAAUGCCCGUCCACGGUGCCCUGUGAGCAACCAGCGAGUUAAAUAUCCGUCAGAACACCGACCAUUGACCUCUAAUAUUAAGAAAAGACUAGGGUUCAAAGGGGUCAUAUCCCCCCCCUGAAUGUCAUUCCCUUCUUUCCACACACAUGCACUUAUACACACACACACACCCCCACACACUCUCUCCCUGGUGCAGUGAGAGGGCCUUAUUGUGUAAGCCGGAGGAAAUGCAGAGACAUUGCAGAGGACAGGGCAUCCAUUGAUCCGACUAUAGACUCUUCUCCUACUCAGCCUCUCCUCUCGUCGCUGCCUUUUUUUUUUUCUAUCCCAACCCUUCGCUUUCUCUGCUCUUUGUGUUAUCAGCACUCCACUCUCCUAUAGUUUUUGUCUCCCUGUGAUCCACCACCCCCUCUUCCUCUAUAUUAUUGCUUUCACUCUCCAGGCCAUUUCUGCUCCCCUCUGUCUCUCUCUCUGCCUUCUCAUGCCAUGAUUUCUCCCUCUCCGCAUCUCUUUAUAAUCUCCAUCUAACCAAAAACUCCUCCUUCCUCCUUCCUAUUCACUUAUCUUCUCUUCAACUUCCCUUCCAUCUCUUAAAUGACUUACAUUUGUCCCUCUGUCUCCAACUAGUCAUGCAACUUUGGAGCAGAAACUUAGUUGGAAACAGAAAGUGGAUCAUGGGGACGAGAAGGAUCAUGAUAACAAGUGAGCAAAGGAAGCUUGUGUGAGAAAGUGAAAAUAAUGAAGGGAUGACAAGCAACUGAAGGGUGUGAGGAUGGAAGAAAGAAAGGAAAGGAGGAAGGAAAUCAGCUUGACCACAGGUAGUAUAUGUUAAAUGGUGUUGGAGCAGUGCCAUUAAAAACAGGCACAGAGCUGAACAGGAAGAAGUGAUUUAGUGAACACACACUCACUCAGUCACACACAGCGUGACUUCAGUAAUGGCCAAAGGAACCGUAAGGUGGGAAGUAGGAACCCUGUGGUGGCAAGUAGGAACCUUAAGGUGGCUAGUAGGAACACUGAGGUGGCAAGUAGGAACCUUAAGGUGGGUAGUAGGAACCCUGAGGUGGCAAGUAGGAACCUUAAGGUUGGUAGUAGGAACACUGAGGUGGCUAGUAGGAACACUGAUAUGGCUAGUAGGAACCUUAAGGUGGGUAGUAGGAAUCCUGAGGUGGCUAGUAGGAACCUUAAGGUGGCUAGUAGGAACACUGAUGUGGCUAGUAGGAACCUUAAGGUGGGAAGUAGGAACCCUGAGGUGGCUAGUAGGAACCAUGAGGUGGCUAGUAGGAACCUUAAGGUGGGAAGUAGGAACCAUGAGGUGGCUAGUAGGAACCUUAAGGUGGCUAUUAGGAACCUUAAGGUGGGAAGUAGGAACCAUGAGGUGGCUAGUAGGAACCUUAAGGUGGCUAUUAGGAACCUUAAGGUGGGUAGUAGGAACCCUGAGGUGGCUAUUAGGAACCUUAAGGUGGCUAUUAGGAACCUUAAGGUGGGUAGUAGAAACACUGAUGUGGCUAGUAGGAACCUUAAGGUGGGUAGUAGAAACACUGAUGUGGCUAGUAGGAACCUUAAGGUGGGUAGUAGGAAUCCUGAGGUGGCUAGUAGGAACCUUAAGGUGGCUAGUAGGAACCUUAAGGUGGCUAGUAGGAACACUGAUGUGGCUAGUAGGAACCUUAAGGUGGGAAGUAGGAACCCUGAGGUGGCUAGUAGGAACCAUGAGGUGGCUAGUAGGAACCUUAAGGUGGGAAGUAGGAACCAUGAGGUGGCUAGUAGGAACCAUGAGGUGGCUAGUAGGAACCUUAAGGUGGCUAUUAGGAACCUUAAGGUGGCUAUUAGGAACCUUAAGGUGGCUAUUAGGAACCUUAAGGUGGGUAGUAGAAACACUGAGGUGGCUAGGAGGAACCUUAAGGUGGCUAGUAGGAACACUGAUGUGGCUAGUAGGAACCCUGAGGUGGCUAGGAGGAACACUGAGGUGGCUAGUAAACCCUCCUGCUUUGUACAUCCCUUCUCAUCUCUCUGACUUUUUGCCUCCUCUCUGUCCUUACCUCCCUCGCCGCUUGCAUGAUUCCUUCUUCACCUCCACCUUCUCCCACCCUGUCUCCAUCUCUGCUUCUGGCACUCCCCCCCUCCUCCCUCCUUCCUCUUUGCCCUGCUCCCUUCCUGCUGGACAGGCUUUUAUUUGAGCCAUGUGGACCUCCCUAAUGACAUGUGGACCUUGGUGUGUGUGUGUGUGUGUGUGUUUCUCUGCGAGAGUUGUAGGUGCUGACAUGUGCAUGCGUGCAUGUGCACGUGUGCUUGAUGUGCUGACGCACGUGUGUGUAUGUGCGAUGGAGGUGCUGACAUGUCUGAUCGUCGUGUAGUUCUCCCACUGAAGUUCUGCCGACGGCCUCUUACCUUUGAACAGGCCAGUGAAGGGGAGGGGGGGGGUAAGAAAAAAUACCGGAGCACUAUGCCAGAAAUGUGAAGAGAAGCAGAGGGAAGGAGGGAGGACAAAGUGAGAGAAGAGAAGGGGUGGUAAGUGGGACAUUGUUACAGUAAUUAACACAGAUGAGAGAAUGGGAAGAAGGGAGAACACAAUCGGGUGGUUCUCGCGGCGCACACAGGGUGCCGGAGAUCACGCGUGUCCCUGAUCAGAGGGACUCCGGGAGACGAGGGUGGGUGGGGGGGUGGGUUUGUUGGUUGGUGUCGUGGUGGUGGCACCGUGAAAUGAGCCUUGUUGGAAGAUGACGGGUCUUACAGGGCCCCCGUCUAGAGCUUGUGUUCUAAGCUACUACCAAGAAGUUUACUUCACCAAAACGCACCUACCAACUCCCCAUGGACAAAAGGUACUUUUCUAAAGCCGUUCUUUUCCGAUAGUAACCAGCACUUUCCACAGUGGUUGAGUGUUUUAGGAAAGCAUAGGCAGCUUCUUCAAAUGACUUUAGCCCAAUUAGUGGCAGUGCACAUGUAGCAGAAAGAGGAAAACCGGCAAACAUUAAAGAGUUCACACAUAUGGUUUGCAUCUUUCUUAUUCUAUUCAAUUAAAACUGGCAGCAAUUAGAAUCUCGAGAACCGUUUCACCUGUGAAUUCAGCCGUCCACACACUAUUUCAUCUCCUCCGCGAUAGUCAUCGAUAUUUUCAAUGAUUAACAAAAUGUAACGCAUAGUUUAAUACACAAAACCUAUGAUUGGUCAAAAAAGAUUCAAUUCUUAAUUUUGGACUUUAAGGAAUGCCAUUUGUAUACAUUCAGUGGGAUAAAUGGGAAUAUGAUUAAACGGCGCGAGGUGUGUGAGCAGAUGUCUUGAUAUGGUUUUACUUCAGCUCAUCACGACUUCUAAAAUUCUACAUUCAAACGUGGAAGUGUGCGAGAAGAACAAAGCUUUAAAUUUUUCAACGUAUCAUGCAGUGAGUGAUAGACAUUCAAAUGGUCAUUUAGUGAAUAAAACAUUCUUUUGCAGAAAAAGCUCAGAAGGAAUUACAAGAACCAUUGUAUGGUCCCAAAAGCAGAGAAUCUUAUGAAAGAGAGAGGAAGAAAAUGCUUUUCUGGGUUCAAGUCAAUAGCAUUGCUGUGAGAAAGAAAGUCCAUGGAAGACUGUAUUGAAUGGAUAUCGACUAGAAUGGGAAAAUCAUUGAACAAGUGUCCAGCAGAGGAUGUGAACCAAAGAGAGAGCCGAGAUGAGAGCUGCAGGGACAUGUUUUGGUCAGUAUUUGUCUUUUUAGGGACAUUUUGAUCUCCUUGGAGGUUGAUUAUACCUAUAAGACCAUCACAGUGGUUUAAUGUUUAUAUGGAUGUCUCCAUAUGUUUAUCUUUUUGCAACAUCUGCCUGUUUCCCAGACUAAUCUAUCAAGUGCAACACCCACUUGCGGUGUUAUGUUGAUUAAACCGAUCAAGAAUACCAUUAAAGGCGGUACCCUGCAGCGCGUACGCUAUAUGACCUUUAACUAUCUAGUGUAUCUAUUUGUUGAAUUUUUUCUUCUCCACACAUAUAGUACAGCCACCAGGGCACCGUCAGGCUUUGCUAUGUGUACCUUGAAGAACGAGAUGCCUCCUCAAAUGACUGGAAUCCAGUUGGUAUUCUCGACUGCCCUCUAUGUGCGAUUGUAUAUUACCAAGGAUCGGUCUGAUGACGCUCCGUAUGAUUGAAAUAACACGGCAUCUCUUUGUAGUUCCAGCCCCAUGUUUAAAAGACAAAAGGAAAGAGAGAUAACAGAGACUGCUUCGUCUGCUAUAAUGGACUCUCGCUCAACAGAAUGCCAUAUGGAUCCUGCAAAGCACCCAUCAAAUGCACACUACAAGAACCCGAGAAGUCCAGAUUAAAAGCCUGUGAUGCUGCCUGAAAAGGAGAAAACCAAAGAUUGUGAACUGACUGUUUAAGUGCAGUAUACAUGUACUGUAUUUAUUACUGUAUACUGGGUAAAGUCCCUCGUGUCCCUGUUGCUCACACGCGACUUUGGGGUCCCAGAAGUUGGUGUAGGAAAUGUUUGACAGUGCGGCUAGUUAACAAUGAUUGAUGCCCGUAGCCCUCUCAGCUGUUAAGGAGAGAUGAGGGGAAGCAAGUGAUGCAAGGCGGAUUGGAAGCUGCCUGCUGGCAUCUGACUUUAGGAAUGGUGAUUAAAAACACAUUAUGACAAAGGCAACAUCUGGCGGUGCAUUCAGAUCCUCAGAACAGUAGUGCACUGCUACGUUACCUUGGCAUCACAUGCACAGUGGAUGAAAGGUGUGCUCCAAACAAUGAAAAACAAACAAAGAAGUUUUGAAUUAAAGUCCCAUUUUGUCUGCUCGGUGGUGCUUUCGGCAAACUGAAAACAAUCCCCAAAUAGGCUAAUUAGUUUCAUUAUUGUGUUAUUUGGAUUCAUUAACUUAAGUUUAACUCAACAUUUGUACUUUAUGUAGUUAAUAAUAUCAGUCAGUCAAUUACUCUCUGGCUGGUAAAUUAUUUUAACAACUUGACAUAAGGGGAUUUUUCCUCCAAUUAAUGUUCAUGGAAUACAGCGUAAUCUUUGCUGUGGUUUAUUUGGUUCCCCAGGCCAAGAUCGUUACAUGUAACCUAUCAGCACCAUGGAAAAAAAAUGUAAUUAAAAGCAAAAUAUAGUCUGACUAAUGGGAACAAUUUACUUUGAUGACACGCCACAAAAGACAGCAUCUGUUCUGGCGCUGAUACCCGAGGGCUGUGAGCUCAGCGCGCCAUCCUGACAAAGCAUGCGUGAACGAUUGUCAGCAGGAGUUUCUACUCGGGAUCAGAUGACAUUUUGUGAAAGUCAGCCGUCACCUCAUGAAAUCGCUGAAGACAAUCUAGUCAACAUCAUUAGAUGGACGUGUUCACUCUGAUCUGAACACGUCCUGACCUGAAAAAUUAGACUACAGACGCAAUGCUGUUGAUUCUGCGUUGUGUUUUCUGUGAAUGAUCUUGAAGCUGGGGGAUAGUUGUUUUUUUUAUGCAAAACACUGCUGGUUCGAAUGGGAUUUACAACCUUUGACAUGAAGUCAAUUACUUACCAUAACAACAAAGGGCCAUGAAAGAGAGAAACAUAGAGGCCGGUGUCGUAGACGACUGUUGCAAUGCAGCAAAUAUAAUUUUGUUGCGUAUGCAAGUUGGACACAUUGAAAGGUUCACUGCAGUAGAAUUAAAAGCCUUGACACGGUUACACCGUUUGUGAAGAAGGUUUGUUUCUGAAUUGUACUCGUGAAUGUUGAAAAGGUGUGCGGUGAGGAAAGCGCCUCAUCCUUCUCUCGUGCUACGUCUUUAGCUUUAACUCCCCACCCGCAGUGGUAGUUGGGCCAACGUCAAGCGUGGACUGACACGCCGCCCAUGACGUGUCCACAUCUGCAGGUUUAAGUGGGGAGCCACAGCAUGGAGCGUAGUUUGAAUUACUGUAUUUGAGGCAUUUGGGUGAGAAUGUGUUGUCCCUUGUUUCACUAAAAAGGCCGUUUGAAGGAAAGAAACUGAAUGGAAAGCCAACCUAAUGAUGUGCUCCUCUUGUUCGCUGACAAUCUGUUAUAGAAUUUUGCGAUAUACACUGACAGCUUUGUCAGUGCUACUCAAGCAAGAGGAGGUAUUAAGGAGCAACGUGUUGUGACUCAUCAGUGGGCGACUGUCUCACUCUGCUGCGAUGAAUUAAAUCGGGUUCAUUGAAACGGUGUCCUUCUUUCCCACUUAGGCCUUUGUUAUAAAGUUGUAAAUCCACAAGACGGUUCGGGUAAUCAAACAUGUUAGUCGAACUAUGAUGCGAGGUUCAGAUAAGGUUUAUUUUUAUAUGCGGACAGGAAAGAGGAAUUGUAAACUACAUGCUCAAUAGUGUGUUCAAAGUCAAUUUAUAGUUCAUAUUGUACUCUGAUAUCUCCUCACGAUCUCGUGUGUGAAAUAGGUCUAUUGUGUGUAAGUUGAUGCGCGCGUCACAAUUCUCAUUGAGCGCCUCAAAUCAGAUGCCACUUCAUCGAUAGGAUAUUUCACUGCCUAAAGGGGAAAAAAGGAAAGGAUUGAAGUGAGUAUGAAACUGACCAGAAUAUGUCGGCCAAUUGGAGCUUGAGAUUGGAGCAAUCGGAUGCAGAUGUUGUCAUCUGGUUGAAAAAAAUAGCUGUAAAUGAAAUAUGAUUUUUAAAUGUUCUGAUGUAUGAGAAUGAAUGGAAACAGAUACUCAUCCCGUCUCAACCAUUUUUUGUGAGAAACUAAUGGUUGUGUGAUUUGCUCAAAGACCCUUUUACCCGCGGACAGAAGGAGCCGGGGCGGGUUAUAAUAUAUAACCGCUAACUUUGUCGUGAAAGGACGACUCUGCUCAAUGAGACACAACCAUCAAGCCAUUGUUUGGCGUAUUGAAGUAUUGAUAUUCAAUGAUCCCUUCUUUCAAAAUGUCAGAUUCUACUGUAGAAUGAUGACACUUUUAAUGUCAUGAUUAUGCCAUUACAGCUCUUUAUUAAGGUAAUUGAUUACUUCUGCUCUAAAAAAAUAAGUAGUUCUGUGACGUUGGCCUGUUCCUUGGACAAAUGAGCACUUGACGAUUUCCCUUUUUGGUCCCUGGAAAACAGACUUUUCUCCAUGCUCCGACCUUUUAUUGACCUUGUAAUUAUUCAUUCAUCCAAAACAAUUAUGCCAUGAAUUUUAUGAGAGCGCUGCUGCAGCUGUUGGAAAUUAGGCUCAAAAAGUAAUAUAAGAAAUUGCCCGGUUGGUCUCGCCGAGUGGCGAAGUUUAAUUCGUCAUGGUCUUAUUGAAAGUGUUCGCACACACGGAUACAACCGCACACGGUCACAGCCGUACAAACAUAAUGAUAUGGAUUUGCAGCCUGCACACACGCACACACACACACACACACACACCUCUGGGACCCGGCCUGGGUCUCUAUUGUAAAUGAUGCAGUUCGCCUGUGUGAGCUGUGGUUGAGUUAGUAGCUAAUUAGUUUGGCACGCCAGCCUUCUUCCCAGGACCUGUGUGUGUCUGUCUGUGUGUCUGUCUGUGUCUGUGUCUGUGUGUGUGUGUGUGUGUGUGUGUCUGUGUGUGUGUGUGUGUGUGUGUGUGUGCUGGAGGUGCAGUGGGGGGUUUAAUCCUCUUUACUUGUUGUUCUACACCACUGCCACCCCCCCGAUUCUUUCUGUUUUCUUUGCCCCUUUCUCCACUUCUUUUGGCUUUGUCUUUCACCAUGUUUGCGUUUUGUCCCCUCUCUGCCUGUUCCUCCCCUUUUGUCCCUUUUUUUUAAUCUUCCCCCUCUAUUACUUUCUCUCCCUUUCCAUGCCCUGCACCCCCCCCCCCCAUUUUAUUUGCUUCUCCCUCUGACCCUUGUUAUUUCCCCUCUCCAUCCAUCUCCUGUAUUUAAUGAAAGUCCCUGUUAUUGGACUAAUCCAGUGGUGGAGUGUUCUCAGUGUCUCCCUCGCUUCAUUCCUCCGUAUCUCACCGCUCAUCCUGCAUCUUUAGAUUUCCCUCUCACCCUCCACUAAUGGAAGUCCCCCCCCCUUCCCCUCCGCUAUCUUUGUAAUCCAGUGUCUCCUUGCCUCCACCUUUCUGUUGCUCUUUCUUUUCCUCUUCCCCUCUGUAGACUAAUGAAAGUCUGUGGUGUUGGUCUAAUCCCCUGGCUGUGUGCUCACAGCCCCUUUGUUGGUCAAAUCUGACUAAUGCCCUCCGUCUCAGUCCGCAGCACAGCAGCCUCUUACCUCAUUCCUCACACACACAAACCCUAUGGGGAAUAUUAUGAUUUUUGUAGAAAGUGUAUGUGUCUUUCUCUUGUUUGAUAAAGACUCGACACGGCGUCCAAUUGGAGAAACACGCAACACCAUGUCGGUUUUCUACUUUCACACUCAAGCAAUUCAUAUCGAGAGUUGAAGCAACACAGUGGAGUGCUGUUUAAUUUACUUUAUUCUCAUUUUUUAAUCUCCACUGUGAUUAAAGACGUUCAGCAUCCUACAUCUCCACUGAGUAGUGGUCCAUGCUAUGUGCAUAAAUAAUGAAAAUGAAUAAAUUAAUGCAUUUGAAUAAUGCCUGUAUUUUUCAUGUUCUUCUUUAAGGGGAAAUUACUGUAUUUUCUUGAUGAAUUUGGACUCUCAAACAGUGGACUUUUCUGAUAUAAUGUCUGUGAAUGUGUGGUCUGUGCUACAAAACUAUAAAUCCAACAGUACGUCUUUGCGUCCAUGAACUGCCUGCAGCAGCAUCGUAGUAGCGACAGCAGGCCGACCCUGAUACCCCCCCCCCCCUCCUCCCAGGAUCAUUUCCAACAUCGCCUUCAUCACUCAUGGCCAUAACUUCAUUCGGGCGGUAAGCAGAUUGACCCUCCGAUGACUGCUCUUAUUAAAGGGCAGACGGUGACCUCAUCUCACCCCCGUCAUCCUUUUGCCAUGUUAAUGGUUUGUAUUGACGGACUGAUACUCUGACACACGUGUACUUGUUUUAGUCAAUGUCCCACACAAAAAUGUGCGCAUGAUAAAUACAGUACGCGCUGCAUUGUGUUCCAUAUCGAUUGAUCUUAGUGCGCCGGCAGCGUGGCAUCAUUGACUGUGGCCGUGUGUCUCAUGCACAGGAAAUGGUACAUGGGAGCGUGCGUCUACUUCUAGUGCGUGCGGGUGUGCGCAUGCCCUCGUGUGCGUGUGUCAAAGAGUUCGCUCUUACACAAUCCUGACAGUGUUUGUAAUAUUUUGGGCUCAUUGAAUCGCCUGUUUAUGGAGUGUGCAAUAAAUCAUGACUAAACAUAACCAAACACAAGUGUGUGUUUAUCAGCGAGGGAACGCCGUUUCAGGCCUUGCACAUUUUUGGCUGUGAGUGCGACACCGAGGUUAAAUUGCUUCAGUCGUGGUGAAACUACGUUGAAAUUGAGCUCUAAAGCACAUUUGAGGCUUUGCCGUAUAAAAUGUAUGUAUGAAGUUCUGUUUCAGGGAAGCCAUGCGAUUGGAUUUGCAGAAGGGCGGCCAGACCAACAGUGUGGGAGCCGCUAGGUUCACACGUCUCCAAAUCACUGGGUACAGAAACCCAGCUACUGGUAUGAACAAAUUAAGACUGGUCACUGGUCAGUACCAGGUGACAAGAACAAAAAGUGAGCCAUUAGCUGUAAAACAUUUUCUCACAGGCUAAAUUCAGCAUAAUGCUUAAAUCCACCAGUACAACAAUAGUCAUAUUGUACUCAUCUAUUUUUGAAGAAAAGUAUUUCUUUAAACAAAUUUUAUGCAUAUUUCAUUUCAAUUCCUUCUACCUUUCAGUUUUAUUAAAGAUUCUGCAAGUGCCACCCGACACAUUGUGUGGAUGUUUCACAAUAACAUCUUAAACUAAAGGAGGGAAUUUGCAUCUUGACUCACUUGAAAGGUUCUCAUGUCAAGCAUCUGUGUUUAUUUAUCUAACAGCGAUAAAGCAAUUUUAGUAGAUUGGAAUCAAGUGAAUCCGACUGCUAGUUGCAUUUGUAUUCCUGAAUUUGUCAAGAUAACGGGUAAAUAUCUAACAUGUUUUUAUUAACUGUAAAAUGCUACCAGGCGCAAAUUGUAGCAGAAUAGAACAGGAGGGUACACAAAAGUAUGAAUAAAGGUCUACUAAAUGUAAAGAUGUCAAUCAGAAUUAAGAUUCGGGAAGUAGAAUGUGCACACAGACAAUUUAACAAUGUUAAAUAAAAAGAGAUUUGUAUAGAGAUAAAGGAUUUAGAAUUACAGGACAAAAGUAAGCAGAGACACAGUGGUCAAACAUAAACAACAUCCACAUGCUAUAGAAGCUAUUCUCCAUCCUUCAUUUUUAAGAAAUUCAAAGGUGACAAAACUAUUAUUUUUCCUGUGACAUUGGUGCUGACACAUCCACUUUAUAUCAGAGGAAUUCCUGUUUUUGAAGUCCCGACACGUACUGUAGAUGUUGUAAUAUUUCCCCAGGCGCCAACAGUCCUCGCACCACCCAAGACAAAUGGCUGACAGUUGAGGUUUUUUUGUUAUCGUUCUUCAAAAUUAGACAUCAUUUGAAAACACCUACUCAGUUCUAAAAGCACAUACGUAAAAUAAAUUACACACGGCAUAUUUUAAAGAACAGCUGCAAUUGUAGUCUCUUGUCAACAUCAAUAAUGUUUACAGCCUUGUCCUAGAUCCACUUGCUAUGCUAAAUGAUCCACUUCAGUUAAUUGUUUUCUUUCCAAGAAUGAAUAUGAAACAUCCAGAGAUUAAGCUCCGAGCCAAACACCGCCUCGACUUUUUUAAGCGCUAUUCAUUUGAACUAGAAUUUCACAUCAAAUCAUGUUUCAAACUUUUCAAUCCUCUGAUUCUACUUUGUGCUUCCAGUGAAUGUAGAAGACCGUAUUUCAAACCAGAUCCCCUCAUGUGGGAAGUUAAAUAUGUACAAGUCAGCCAGAGGUGAAAUCCUUCCCUGCCAGGGGAGAUCUCCAGCUUACAGGGUCUCAGGCAAGACUCCUCUGAUUCAUGAUGGGUGUGUAGAGGGAGCGAGCAAAUGUCUACGUGUGUGUGUGUGUGUGUGUGAUCAACAGAAAUAUAUGGCUAUAAAUGGUUUCAUCCUUUGAGGCAUCGACGGGUCUUCCUGUUUCUCCCAAUAUUUGGAGGAACUAGUUAACCGUAAUAAAAAAUAAUGCCAAUGGUAACAACAGAAACUCAAAAACUCCACCUCGCUAGAGUUGACGUCAACUGGUUAGUCAGAAAGUGAAAGGCGGCGGGGGUAAGGUAAAGAGGGGUGGAACUCAUGAGGUGGAUCCCGUGAGACAGGCCAGGUCAGCUGGGACUCAACAUGGGGGCGGCGAGAGACCCAAGCCCCCCGGCGUGGAGAGCACAAGCACCCGGGACUAUAAGAUGCGGCGGGUGAGAGGUGUCUGGUUCCACAGAAGCUCCUUUCAUCCCAUCUUGCAGGUAAAAACCCCCCACUGUGGAGCGAAGCAGAGAGAAUAACUUGAGAGAAGGAUCGCUAAUCCACCCCGACGGCCUGCAGGCUCUGGGAUUUGGGACUAUCGCUUACCGUGAAGUAGGAGCAGGAGCAGGUCGAGUUAGGGCGCAAGCAUCCCUCGUAAAUGGUAAAUGGACUGUACUUGUAUAGCGCUUUUCUAGUCUUCUGACCACUCAAAGCGCUUUAACACUACAUGACAUCAUUCACCCAUUCACACCCAUUCACACGCUGAUGACACGAGAACCACACACAGUGACACCUGCCCAUCAGUAACUAACAUUCAUACGCUGUAGUCGCAGCUACAGGAGCAAUGUUGGGUUAAGUGUCUUGCCCAAGGACACAUCGACAUGCGGGUUAGCCAAGCCUGGGAUCGAACCGACAACCCUCUGAUUGGAGGACGACCGUGCUCCCCACUCACCCACAGACGCCCACAGGAAAGCAUCGUGUCUUUCCUGUCAGUCAGCCCAGCGACGCUAUUACGAUACGGCAAAUAUUGUGCCCCCGCGGCGCUCUCCCUUUUUCUGUCUGGGUUUCAAUCCAAGCAGGUUUAUCCUCUCCUCGACCGACUUCGGCUUGCUCGCCCUCUUUGUACGCACGCCGCCUCCCAAUCUCUUCCUCCCCAUCGUUCUCCACCAGCUUCGUUAAUGCUCCUCUAUCUUGAAGCCUCACAGGGAGCUAAUUUAGCUGUGAACUUUGUUCCGGCUGUCAAUUCACAAAAGGGACGUUGCAAAGAGUUAAGCAGAUAUGGCAGUCAGAGACCCAUAGGGGGAGCGUUCAUGAGAGAUUAGUGGCGUAUGCUCAAAUAUUAGUAUUAUUUUUUUGUUGUUGUUUUUUUCAUAUAAUGAAAUGAUUUAUUCAUUUUCAUUUCCAGUAACGUCUGUUCUAGAUCACAUGCAAGAAUGGUCCGCAGCUCCAAUUAAGGCAACGGAGCCAUUAAAGCAAUUUUGAACCAGACCAGUGGACCUUAAAACACAGAGCAGCUCAACACAGCAACAUCUGUGAUUACUAACAAAGCUCAGAAUGCUCUGUUAGAUAUUCAGGCUUUUUUAAUGCUUAAAGGAAAUAUGUGAAAUGAAAUGUUAAACAUUGUUAGAAGUAGGUAGAAGCUCAAUGAGAAAUGUUGUUGUCAAAGCUUUACGCCAUCUGCUUACUAUCGUCCGUACAAUCGGCCGAAACCUCGAGCUAUUCUUUUGAAGCAGCUGUGUGGUGUCGUAGAAUGCAGUAAACAAUAAAACAAAUUCUCAUUGAUGGUAAAAACGUGUAUAUGUUUGCCGACAUUGUGGUUUCUUCCUGUGGUGCCCAGGAAGGAAGUCUAAAUUAGUCAUUGUUCGUGGUGCAGCCGAUCAUGUCAUUACACAGUUUAAUGUUAACUACCCCAGUGUAAAGUUAGGUUUUACUGACAUCCUUAUCUGCUGAUCUUUAUCGUUUACACUAUUUUAGUCUUUGAUCUCCGAUAAUGUUACACAAUGGUCACUGAUAGUUUGUUUUAGGUGAAAGUUAAUAAAAAAUCAUAUAACUAAUUACAACAUUUGUUGUUUUAAUAAAUAGAAAUAUGUUUGAUUUUUUUUUUUACAUCAUCUGAACAUGUUUUUAUGAGAACCCUCCAACUAUUACUAUGACUUCAUAGACCAGUUGUUGUAACCAAAGGAGAAAAAAGGAUCUCUAUCCACGCAAAUGGAUCAUCAAUGACAAUUAGUACCAGCAGCAAAACAACUUUUUGCUGCUAGUUUUUCUUUUUUCCUUCUGAUCCAAACAUGUGAUCUGAUCCAUGACUAUGAUUGUGAGUCUUAUGAUCACAAUCAUCUGUUGGCCAUACCCAUGACUAUGUGGUUGUUACCCUGCUGGGACAGGGUCCAAUUCCUGCAUGGAAACUACUGAUGAUAAGGCAUCCGGUGGAUCGGGCUUCUGGGAAGGUCCACCUGGAUUUAAGGAGGGAUUAUUGGGAUUGAGCAUAUAUUAGUUCUGAAUAUAAAUCCCAGUUUGGCUAUCUUGCUACUGCUUCUGGGUAGUGUCUUGAUGCUGGCAGUGGGGCUGAGUAGUUGGAUGUUGUCAUCGUUAUUAGAAGCUGAAAGGCAGAAAGUUACCGAACCAGCCGGUUGGGUUAAUAAGGAGCAUGCUGAUUAGUGAUUGGCUGCUACACAGGCGGACGCAAGUCGAUGCCUCAUGAAUCCUAAAGCGAGGGUGGAAGGAAGGAGCAAAACGAUUCCCUGGGAGGAAAAAAAAA
ensembl:lncRNA